rnacentral:tRNA from 1 species
GGUUGUAUAGUCUAAUGGUCAGGACGUGGGAUUCUGAUGUCUGCCAGCCUUCGCUGGCAGCAAGAUUAGAAUCUUCCCGAAGUCCCGGUUCGAUCCCGGGUACGACCU